UUUCCGUAGGUGAACCUGCGGAAGGAUCAUUAGAGAAGAACAAGUGUUCAUUUUAAUCUUUUUUUUUUUUUUAAUUGGUGGUUGGGCUUGCCCAACCAGUGCGUAAAAAAAGAAGGUCGGGCUGGACUGUAAACAGCAUAUUACAAUAAUAAUUAGUCAAUGACAAUUUACAUGUGCACCUUGCCGCAAUGGAUCUCUCGGCUCUU
rnacentral:misc_RNA from 1 species